UACGAGGGGGGCGAGCGUUGUUCGGAAUUAUUGGGCGUAAAGGGUGCGUAGGCGGUUUGGUAAGUCUUUUGUGAAAUCUCUGGGCUCAACUCAGAGUCUGCAAGGGAAACUGCCGGGCUGGAGUGUGGGAGAGGUGAGUGGAAUUUCCGGUGUAGCGGUGAAAUGCGUAGAUAUCGGAAGGAACACCUGUGGCGAAAGCGGCUCACUGGACCACAACUGACGCUGAUGCAACGAAAGCUAGGGGAGCAAACAGG
rnacentral:rRNA from 1 species